GGUACUCGAGCGGCGAACGGGUGAGUAACACGUGAGCAACCUGCCCCAGGCUUUGGGAUAACCCCGGGAAACCGGGGCUAAUACCGGAUAUGACCUUCGGACGCAUGUUCGGGGGUGGAAAGUUUUUCGGCUUGGGAUGGGCUCGCGGCCUAUCAGCUUGUUGGUGGGGUGAUGGCCUACCAAGGCGACGACGGGUAGCCGGCCUGAGAGGGCGACCGGCCACACUGGGACUGAGACACGGCCCAGACUCCUACGGGAGGCAGCAGUGGGGAAUAUUGCACAAUGGGCGGAAGCCUGAUGCAGCGACGCCGCGUGAGGGAUGACGGCCUUCGGGUUGUAAACCUCUUUCAGCAGGGACGAAGCGCAAGUGACGGUACCUGCAGAAGAAGCGCCGGCCAACUACGUGCCAGCAGCCGCGGUAAGACGUAGGGCGCGAGCGUUGUCCGGAUUUAUUGGGCGUAAAGAGCUCGUAGGCGGCUUGUCGCGUCGACUGUGAAAACCCGUGGCUCAACUGCGGGCCUGCAGUCGAUACGGGCAGGCUAGAGUUCGGUAGGGGAGACUGGAAUUCCUGGUGUAGCGGUGAAAUGCGCAGAUAUCAGGAGGAACACCGGUGGCGAAGGCGGGUCUCUGGGCCGAUACUGACGCUGAGGAGCGAAAGCGUGGGGAGCGAACAGGAUUAG
rnacentral:rRNA from 1 species